CAGGAGGGCCCACGAAACACAGCUUUGAAGUCAGCAGGUCUGCGGUGGAGCCCAGGGGUCUGCAUUUCUAACAAGUUCCCUGGUGCUGCUGCUGCUGCCCGCCACUUCGGCCCACAUUUUCGGAACCACGGGACCACCGGCACCACUGGCCUCGGCAGAGGAAAGGAAACCAGGUGUCAGCCCUCAGGGGAGAUACCUUGUGGAACAGUGAGCUGACCUUCCCUAACACAGACCCAGCAAGUGGACUGCUCAGGGGGCGGCCGUGGAGGCCAAGAAUCAGACAUGGAAGGAUGUGUGCAGUCCAUGGUGCAGUCCCUGCAAAAAUGGCCGAAGGGCCUGCAGAAUGGGAAAAGAUCCGAUUCUAGUAGAAGUUCAAACCCAGACGGAAAGAAUACCCAAAUCCGGUCAUGGUGAGCCAAGUGAAGACCACUUCAGGAACGGC